rnacentral:sRNA from 1 species
GUGUCGGGCUGAUAAAAUGGAUAUGUGUAUCCAGCCCUCCGGCUGUUACGAUAAGCCCCUCUCCGGCAAUGACCUCUGUUCCCGCACCGAUGAUCAGAUUCUCGUCCACACCAUCCAUAAUCGCAGGGUUUCCCGCCUUACCGAUUCCACAGAUCUUACCGUCCCUGAUGCCGAUGUCCGCCUUUACGAUGCCCUAGUAGUCCACGAUGACCGCACUGGUAAUGACGGUAUCCGGGCAGUUAUCAUCACGUACCUUACAGGACUGUCCCAUGCCAUCACG